AUUGAACGCUGGCGGCAGGCCUAACACAUGCAAGUCGAACGAGUGGCGGACGGGUGAGUAAUGUCUGGGAAACUGCCCGAUGGAGGGGGAUAACGACUGGAAACGGUAGCUAAUACCGCAUACCAUCGGAUGUGCCCAGAUGGGAUUAGCUAGUAGGUGGGGUAACGGCUCACCUAGGCGACGAUCCCUAGCUGGUCUGAGAGGAUGACCAGCCACACCGGAACUGAGACACGGCCCAGACUCCUACGGGAGGCAGCAGUGGGGAAUAUUGCACAAUGGGCGCAAGCCUGAUGCAGCCAUGCCGCGUGUAUGAAGAAGGCCUUCGGGUUGUAAAGGACUUUCAGCGGGGAGGCGGUACCCGCAGAAGAAGCACCGGCUAACUACGUGCCAGCAGCCGCGGUAAUAC
rnacentral:rRNA from 1 species